AGAGUUUGAUCCUGGCUCAGAUUGAACGCUGGCGGAAUGCUUUACACAUGCAAGUCGAACGGUAGAGGGGGCAACCCCUUGAGAGUGGCGAACGGGUGAGUAAUGUAUCGGAACGUGCCCAGUCGUGGGGGAUAACGUAGUGAAAAUUACGCUAAUACCGCAUACGAUCUAUGGAUGAAAGCGGGGGAUCGCAAGACCUCGCGCGAUUGGAGCGGCCGAUAUCAGAUUAGGUAGUUGGUGGGGUAAAGGCUCACCAAGCCAACGAUCUGUAGCUGGUCUGAGAGGACGACCAGCCACACUGGAACUGAGACACGGUCCAGACUCCUACGGGAGGCAGCAGUGGGGAAUUUUGGACAAUGGACGCAAGUCUGAUCCAGCCAUUCCGCGUGCAGGACGAAGGCCUUCGGGUUGUAAACUGCUUUUGUACGGAACGAAAAAGCUCUUAUUAAUACUAGGAGUCCAUGACGGUACCGUAGGAAUAAGCACCGGCUAACUACGUGCCAGCAGCCGCGGUAAUACGUAGGGUGCAAGCGUUAAUCGGAAUUACUGGGCGUAAAGCGUGCGCAGGCGGUUAUAUAAGACAGAUGUGAAAUCCCCGAGCUUAACUUGGGAACUGCAUUUGUGACUGUAUAGCUAGAGUACGGCAGAGGGGGAUGGAAUUCCGCGUGUAGCAGUGAAAUGCGUAGAUAUGCGGAGGAACACCGAUGGCGAAGGCAAUCCCCUGGGCCUGUACUGACGCUCAUGCACGAAAGCGUGGGGAGCAAACAGGAUUAGAUACCCUGGUAGUCCACGCCCUAAACGAUGUCAACUGGUUGUUGGGUCUUCACUGACUCAGUACGAAGCUAACGCGUGAAGU
rnacentral:rRNA from 1 species